UACGUAGGGUGCAAGCGUUAAUCGGAAUUACUGGGCGUAAAGCGUGCGCAGGCUGUUAUGUAAGUCAGAUGUGAAAUCCCCGGGCUCAACCUGGGAAUGGCAUUUGAGACUGCAAAGCUAGAGUGAGUCAGAGGGGGGUAGAAUUCCACGUGUAGCAGUGAAAUGCGUAGAGAUGUGGAGGAAUACCGAUGGCGAAGGCAGCCCCCUGGGACAUCACUGACGCUCAAGCACGAAAGCGUGGGGAGCAAACAGG
rnacentral:rRNA from 1 species